ACCCCAGACUCCUACGGGAGGCAGCAGUGAGGAAUAUUGGUCAAUGGGCGGGAGCCUGAACCAGCCAAGUCGCGUGAGGGAAGACGGUCCUACGGAUUGUAAACCUCUUUUGCCGGGGAGCAACGGGGUCCUUGCGAGGGCCCGAUGAGAGUACCCGGAGAAAAAGCAUCGGCUAACUCCGUGCCAGCAGCCGCGGUAAUACGGAGGAUGCGAGCGUUAUCCGGAUUUAUUGGGUUUAAAGGGUGCGUAGGCGGAAUGCCAAGUCAGCGGUAAAAUCGCGGGGCUCAACCUCGCUCCGCCGUUGAAACUGGCGUUCUUGAGUAGAAGAGAAGUAUGCGGAAUGCGUGGUGUAGCGGUGAAAUGCAUAGAUAUCACGCAGAACCCCGAUUGCGAAGGCAGCAUGCCGGCUUCCGACUGACGCUGAAGCACGAAAGCGUGGGGAUCGAACAGGAUUAGAUACCCUUGUAC
rnacentral:rRNA from 1 species